rnacentral:rRNA from 1 species
CUACGGGUUGCUGCAGUGGGGAAUAUUGGACAAUGGGGGCAACCCUGAUCCAGCCAUGCCGCGUGUGUGAAGAAGGCCUUUUGGUUGUAAAGCACUUUAAGCAGGGAGGAGAGGCUAAUGGUUAAUACCCAUUAGAUUAGACGUUACCUGCAGAAUAAGCACCGGCUAACUCUGUGCCAGCAGCCGCGGUAAUACAGAGGGUGCGAGCGUUAAUCGGAAUUACUGGGCGUAAAGCGAGUGUAGGUGGCUCAUUAAGUCACAUGUGAAAUCCCCGGGCUUAACCUGGGAACUGCAUGUGAUACUGGGGGUGCUAGAAUAUGUGAGAGGGAAGUAGAAUUCCAGGUGUAGCGGUGAAAUGCGUAGAGAUCUGGAGGAAUACCGAUGGCGAAGGCAGCUUCCUGGCAUAAUAUUGACACUGAGAUUCGAAAGCGUGGGUAGCAAACAGGAUUAGAUACCCGCGUAGUC